AUUGAACGCUGGCGGCAGGCUUAACACAUGCAAGUCGAACGAGUGGCGGACGGGUGAGUAAUGCUUGGGAAUCUCGGUUAUGGAGGGGGAUAACUACGGGAAACUGUAGCUAAUAGCACAUACCAUAGGAUGAGCCCUAGUGGGAUGAGGUAGUUGGUGGGGUAAAGGCUCACCAAGCCCACGAUCUCUAGCUGGUCUGAGAGGAUGAUCGGCCACACUGGGACUGAGACACGGCCCAGACUCCUACGGGAGGCAGCAGUGGGGAAUCUUCCGCAAUGGAGGAAAGCUGACGGAGCAACGCCGCGUGAGUGAAGAAGGCUUUCGGGUCGUAAAGCUCUGUCGGUAGAGAAGCGGUAUCUAACGAAAAAGCACCGGCUAACUCCGUGCCAGCAGCCGCGGUAAUAC
rnacentral:rRNA from 1 species